GUAGGGACCGAGCGUUGUCCGGAUUCAUUGGGCGUAAAGAGCUCGUAGGCGGCUGCUCAAGUCGAAUGUGAAAACUCGAGGCUCAACCUCGAGCCUGCAUUCGAUACUGGGCGGCUAGAGUCUGGUAGGGGGAUCUGGAAUUCCUGGUGUAGCGGUGGAAUGCGCAGAUAUCAGGAGGAACACCGGUGGCGAAGGCGGGAUCCUGGGCCAGUACUGACGCUGAGGAGCGAAAGCGUGGGGAGCAAACAGGAUUAGAUACCCUGGUAGUCCACGCCGUAAACGAUGGGCGCUAGGUGUGGGAGGUCAUCGACUCCUUCCGUGCCGCAGCUAACGCAUUAAGCGCCCCGCCUGGGGAGUACGGCCGCAAGGCUA
rnacentral:rRNA from 1 species